AUUGAACGCUGGCGGCAGGCCUAACACAUGCAAGUCGAACGAGUGGCGGACGGGUGAGUAAUGUCUGGGAAACUGCCUGCUGGAGGGGGAUAACUACUGGAAACGGUAGCUAAUACCGCAUACCAUCGGAUGUUCCCAGAUGGGAUUAGCUUGUUGGUGGGGUAACGGCUAACCAAGGCGACGAUCCCUAGCUGGUCUGAGAGGAUGACCAGCCAAACUGGAACGGAGACACGGUCCAGACUCCUACGGGAGGCAGAAGUGGGGAAUAUGGCACAAUGGGCGCAAGCCGGAUGCAGCCAUGCCGCGUGUAGGAAGAGGGCCUUCGGGUUGUAAAGUACUUUCAGCGGGGAGGCGUUACCCGCAGAAGAAGAACCGGCUAACUCCGUGCCAGCAGCCGCGGUAAUAC
rnacentral:rRNA from 1 species